GACGAACGCUGGCGGCGCGCCUAACACAUGCAAGUCGAACGGAGCUGCGAGAAGCUUGCUUUUCUUAGCUUAGUGGCGAACGGGUGAGUAACGCGUGAGUAACCUGCCCUGGAGUGGGGGACAACAGUUGGAAACGACUGCUAAUACCGCAUAAGCCCACGAUCCGGCAUCGGCAUGAGUGAAAAGGAUUUAUUCGAUCUAGGAUGGACUCGCGUCCCAUUAGCUAGUUGGUGAGGUAACGGCCCACCAAGGCGAGAACUGGUAGCCGGACUGGGAGGUUGAGUGGCCACAUUGAGACUGAGAAACGGCCGAGACUCCUACGGGAGGGAGCAGUGGGGGAUAGUGCAAAAUGGGGGAAACCCUGAUGCUGCGCCGCCGCGUGGAGGAAGAAGGUAUUCGGAUUGUAAACUCCUGUCGUGAGGGACGAUAAUGACGGUACCUAACAAGAAAGCACCGGCUAACUACGUG
rnacentral:rRNA from 1 species